AGAGUUUGAUCCUGGCUCAGGACGAACGCUGGCGGCGCGCCUAACACAUGCAAGUCGAACGAGCGAGAGAGAGCUUGCUUUCUCAAGCGAGUGGCGAACGGGUGAGUAACGCGUGAGGAACCUGCCUCAAAGAGGGGGACAACAGUUGGAAACGACUGCUAAUACCGCAUAAGCCCACGGCUCGGCAUCGAGCAGAGGGAAAAGGAGCAAUCCGCUUUGAGAUGGCCUCGCGUCCGAUUAGCUAGUUGGUGAGGUAAUGGCCCACCAAGGCGACGAUCGGUAGCCGGACUGAGAGGUUGAACGGCCACAUUGGGACUGAGACACGGCCCAGACUCCUACGGGAGGCAGCAGUGGGGAAUAUUGCACAAUGGGGGAAACCCUGAUGCAGCGACGCCGCGUGGAGGAAGAAGGUCUUCGGAUUGUAAACUCCUGUUGUUGAGGAAGAUAAUGACGGUACUCAACAAGGAAGUGACGGCUAACUACGUGCCAGCAGCCGCGGUAAAACGUAGGUCACAAGCGUUGUCCGGAAUUACUGGGUGUAAAGGGAGCGCAGGCGGGAAGACAAGUUGGAAGUGAAAUCCAUGGGCUCAACCCAUGAACUGCUUUCAAAACUGUUUUUCUUGAGUAGUGCAGAGGUAGGCGGAAUUCCCGGUGUAGCGGUGGAAUGCGUAGAUAUCGGGAGGAACACCAGUGGCGAAGGCGGCCUACUGGGCACCAACUGACGCUGAGGCUCGAAAGUGUGGGUAGCAAACAGGAUUAGAUACCCUGGUAGUCCACACUGUAAACGAUGAUUACUAGGUGUUGGAGGAUUGACCCCUUCAGUGCCGCAGUUAACACAAUAAGUAAUCCACCUGGGGAGUACGACCGCAAGGUUGAAACUCAAAGGAAUUGACGGGGGCCCGCACAAGCAGUGGAGUAUGUGGUUUAAUUCGACGCAACGCGAAGAACCUUACCAAGUCUUGACAUCCUGCGACGGUGCUGGAAACAGUACUUUCCUUCGGGACGCAGAGACAGGUGGUGCAUGGUUGUCGUCAGCUCGUGUCGUGAGAUGUUGGGU
rnacentral:rRNA from 1 species